GGAGUGUGCUGACCUUGACAUCCGUGAGACAAUCAAAGUGCUGGAGGGUACAGCAGAUUUGUCACCUGAAGAAAAUAACCUAAUCAAUGAGUUGGCACUGUCAUGGGAUUUGCCUGCAGUCACAUCUGACAACAGAAGAUGGCUGCUGGACAAACUGCUCCUCCAUGCUGUCCUUGGAAGAACCUCAAGACAAGUGAAACAGUUACGAAGGGGUUAAAAGAGACACCGAUCUGGCCUUUGCUAACUGAGAGGAAAGACACAAUUCCCCUCCUCUUUACAAGAGCAUCUGAUGUACAGUGCACACCACAGAUGGUCUUGGAGAAGAUAAAGUGGCCAACAGAGGAUGAGGAUGAAGACGGUGAUGUCUCUUUGGAGGAUACAUGUCGGAUCACAGGAUUCCUUCGCACAUUUAUUGAGGACGGUAAAUGAAUAGAAACUUUUAGUUGUCUUGUAUCACUAAACCUGCAUAUAAUCUCAACCCUCUUCCCACGAAAAGGCUGGGAACCUGCCCUUGUUGUUCUUCGUCGGACAACAUCUGCGAGGGUUACGGGGGGGUGCAUAUACACUCUGUUUAUCAUGGUUAGAUCUCCGAACCAUCCGUGGGGAAAGAGCUCUAUCCAUUCAGCUGAAUUAUGAUUGAAGUGUCUGUUCAUUAAAUA